rnacentral:rRNA from 1 species
CCUACGGGUGGCAGCAGUCGAGAAUCAUUCACAAUGGGGGAAACCCUGAUGGUGCGACGCCGCGUGGGGGAAUGAAGGUCUUCGGAUUGUAAACCCCUGUCAUGUGGGAGCAAAUUCACAAGAUAGUACCACAAGAGGUAGAGACUGCUAACUCUGUGCCAGCAGCCGCGGUAAUACAGAGGUCUCAAGCGUUGUUCGGAAUCACUGGGCGUAAAGCGUGCGUAGGCUGUUUCGUAAGUCGUGUGUGAAAGGCGCGGGCUCAACCCGCGGACGGCACAUGAUACUGCGAGACUAGAGUAAGGGAGGGGGAAGCGGAAUUCUCGGUGUAGCAGUGAAAUGCGUAGAUAUCGAGAGGAACACUCGUGGCGAAGGCGGGUUCCUGGACAUUAACUGACGCUGAGGCACGAAGGCCAGGGGAGCGAAAGGGAUUAGAUACCCUGGUAGUC